rnacentral:rRNA from 1 species
GAUGAACGCUGGCAGCGUGCCUAAUACAUGCAAGUCGAGCGAACAGACGAGGAGCUUGCUCCUCUGACGUUAGCGGCGGACGGGUGAGUAACACGUGGAUAACCUACCUAUAAGACUGGGAUAACUUCGGGAAACCGGAGCUAAUACCGGAUAAUAUAUUGAACCGCAUGGUUCAAUAGUGAAAGACGGUUUUGCUGUCACUUAUAGAUGGAUCCGCGCCGCAUUAGCUAGUUGGUAAGGUAACGGCUUACCAAGGCAACGAUGCGUAGCCGACCUGAGAGGGUGAUAGGCCACACUGGAACUGAGACACGGUCCAGACUCCUACGGGAGGCAGCAGUAGGGAAUCUUCCGCAAUGGGCGAAAGCCUGACGGAGCAACGCCGCGUGAGUGAUGAAGGUCUUCGGAUCGUAAAACUCUGUUAUUAGGGAAGAACAAAUGUGUAAGUAACUAUGCACGUCUUGACGGUACCUAAUCAGAAAGCCACGGCUAACUACGUG